rnacentral:sRNA from 1 species
GACUGUUCAGGUCAUUGAAAGCAAGGAAAGCCUGAUAAACUGCCAUGGCCACGAGGAGUCUAAGGACACAUCCAAUUUCCAUUCGCAUCCAAAAUGGAAUCCGAGACAGAAAGAGGACCUUAGCCUUCAUAUCUGUUUUUUUCUUAUGAAGCUUCUUCUGGUUGGAAACUUGUCAAAUUUCAUCAGAUGGCUGGAACUCUCCCUGUCUCUUUUUCUUUCUGUCAUGGCUGGCAAGAGCUCAUGGGCCAUGAGCUGCAUCUUUAUAAACAUGAACAGAUUAGCAGGUAGUCCCAAAUGGGACAAAUGCUACCUUAUUGCAGACAGUUUCUAGUAUAGUCCCACAUUCUUUGAGAAAGUAGGUGGAGACCCCGUCAGCACCAGGCCACUGGCAGCAAAUGGUUGUAGCCGGGAGCCAGAAUAGAGCAAGUCCAGCCUGAGCCUGUGGUCGGCAGUGGAGGAGAAGAGAGGGUCGCAGACCUGAGGCAAAGGGCAGCCUGAACAACCAAGAACCAG